rnacentral:ncRNA from 86 species
AACCCGUAGAUCCGAACUUGUG